rnacentral:rRNA from 1 species
UACGGAGGAUCCAAGCGUUAUCCGGAUUCACUGGGUUUAAAGGGUGCGUAGGUGGAAUGACAAGUCAGUGGUGAAAACCUGCAGCUUAACUGUAGAACUGCCAUUGAUACUGUUAUUCUUGAGUACAUUUGAUGUGAGUGGAAUGUGUCGUGUAGUGGUGAAAUGCUUAGAUAUGACACAGAACACCAAUUGCGAAGGCAGCUCACAAAACUGUAAACUGACACUGAGGCACGAAAGCGUGGGGAUCAAACAGG